UACGGAAGGGGCAAGCGUUGUUCGGAAUCAUUGGGCGUAAAGGGCGCGUAGGUGGUUCUGUAUGUCUAUCGUGAAAGCGUACGGCUCAACCGUAUUUUGUCGGUAGAAACUGCAGGACUUGAGGCUGGGAGGGGCUGGUGGAAUUCCCUGUGUAGCGGUGAAAUGCGUAGAGAUGGGGGAGAACACUCGUGGUGAAGGCGGCCAGCUAGACCAGUUCUGACACUGAGGCGCGACAGCGUGGGGAGCAAACAGG
rnacentral:rRNA from 1 species